CAACUUUUAACAAUGGAUCUCUUGGCUUUUGCAUCGAUGAAGAACGUAGCAAAUUGCGAUAACUAGUGUGAAUUGCAAAUUCAGUGAAUCAUCGAGUCUUUGAACGCAUCUUGCGCUCAUUGGUAUUCCAGUGAGCACGCCUGUUUCAGUAUCAAAA
rnacentral:rRNA from 1 species